AGUUUCAUCUGCAUGGAGCCAUUCAGUACAUGAAGAGAGGUAAGAAGUUCUCUUCCUUUUUUUGGGUGGAACAGCCAGGCCCCUCCAGUUCUCAACUGCAUCCCCAUCAGCCGGAAGAAUGUUUGUGGCAGCAUCAGAUCCCACAAACGGAACAAAUCCGCAUAUUUCCCUCGAUGAAGGAAAGAUGACGAGCAAUGAAGCGAUCGACUCGAACAGGUCAGUCUGGAUCUCAUCAACUGAAUCCACUCUCUCACUUUCCUCUGUCUGUUCAUCUGGAAUGAUGAUGGAGUCUUGAGCAAUUUGGGCUUUCAGGUAUUUCUUGCACCUUUCUGAAGGAAGAGGGGCUCCAGAACUGUCAUCACCUUCUGCCUCACUUAGGGCCACAACAGUGAUAGCAUGCAGUCCCACUGGCAUAUCAUCUUGAUGCAGUGCGCAACAUCAACCCUGAUAAAACAAGGGGGGAGUUUGGCAGACUGGGUUCCAAGAAGGACAUGAAAGCAUUCAUUAAGUAGUGACAGAAAAACCUGUCCAGUCCAAUAUCUCGGAUGCUACCACUAGUGGCCAAAUUUGGAAGGUGGCUUGGCUCAGGAUCUCCAACAUCCAUCAGAUCUGCUGCCUUCGCUGACCUCCAUACAGCCGGUUCCAUUCUGCCCUCACACAGCUCUUUAGCAAUCUGUUCACGCAGGUUUCCAGACAUGAACCGCUUGGAGUGGCCAGUGUGCAGGGAGAGAUCUGUAUUUCUCAUGAAACACUGGAGCACCAUUGGAGUAUUAAUUGCUGGCUGUCUGUCACAUGACAUUUCUAACUGGCCAUGACACUCCUUACAGUCGCCUCUGAUGUCCAGAUAAUUAUUGUUGACAGCUGGAUGGACCUUUGCUCUUCGGAACACAAGUGUACAUGUAUUUUUGAUCUUCUUCCAUAUAAGAUCAUUGAUGAUAUGAGUCCAAGUGCCAGGUUUCAAAAUUGUGUAUUCUCUUUUUUGGGUAGGAGAAAACUUGUCAUUGUAUUCAACCUUUUCAGGAAUAAAUUUAACCCAGUCCUCAAAAGGGACUUCUAGUUCAAAAGCUUGACAGUUUUCUUGUCCAGGAGAAAUGCAAUGUGAAUCUAACUCUCCUUCACUAUUACUUUCCUGAUCACUGAUUUCCAAAGCUGACCAGAUGUUGUGUCUAUUUAGCUUCACAAAAGUGUACAGGGCCUUUGCUGACAUCUUGUCUUCUAGCUGCUGACUCAGCUCUUUCCAGACUGAUGCAGCUGGAGUGGCUAUUUUGCCAUUUUGGACUAUGGCCUCUUUUGAAUUGCAAAGAAUUGCAAAAAUGGAAACCUUGUCUACAGAUGGCUUUCGAGGCAUCUAAAUUAAAAAAAAAAAACCCACUAUGAUUAUGAUGGAGCAAAACAUGAUUUGACCUAUAUAUACAGCCAGGAGCAACCCCUCCCCCAAGUUCUCCACCAAUCUACACUUUCAUAUUUUGUGGAAUUAUUGUUUUUAAGAUGGAGCUAUUGAAUUUGUGAGUUUAUUAAAUUGAGUCUGAGUGUUUAACCCAUUAACAUGUACUGUACAGCACUUUAGU
ensembl:lncRNA